GUCACCAACUAGUUAGUUAAUACUAAUUCACGAAACGCAAUGAGCUAACUAAGCUGAGAUAAUAGUCUCUAAAUCAUAUGUAGCAGCAUAUGAAGAAUAAGUUUAGUUAGGGGUGAUAGGCCUAUCAAAUUGUCAGAUAUCUUGAUCUAUAGGAAAAAUAUUAAGUAUUUAAUCAAUAAAGAAAUGGUUAGGUUUCUUUAGGGCAUCAAUAUAAGUUAAUUAUGUGUAGUAUGUUUAAUCAUUACUACUUCUAUUUAUUUACAAUACUAAAUUAAAAUAUUAUGUAUUAUACUAUAGAAAUUAAUUGGAUAUUCUGUUAAUUAUUUAAUGGUAAUAUUAGUAUUAUAAAAUAUUCUACGAAGGAACUCGGCAAAAGUUUGCUCAACUGUUUAACAAAAACAUAGCUAAAUGAUAUUAUGUUUAGUUUUUUCUGCUCAAUGGUUUAUCUUAAUAGCCGCAGUA
rnacentral:rRNA from 1 species